rnacentral:rRNA from 1 species
AGAGUUUGAUCAUGGCUCAGAUUGAACGCUGGCGGCAUGCCUUACACAUGCAAGUCGAACGGUAACGGGCCUUCGGGUGCCGACGAGUGGCGAACGGGUGAGUAAUGCAUCGGAACGUACCUUUCAGUGGGGGAUAACGUAGCGAAAGUUACGCUAAUACCGCAUAUUCUGUGAGCAGGAAAGAGGGGGGAUCGCAAGACCUCUUGCUUUAGGAGCGGCCGAUGUCGGAUUAGCUAGUUGGUGAGGUAAAGGCUCACCAAGGCGACGAUCCGUAGCGGGUCUGAGAGGAUGAUCCGCCACACUGGGACUGAGACACGGCCCAGACUCCUACGGGAGGCAGCAGUGGGGAAUUUUGGACAAUGGGCGCAAGCCUGAUCCAGCCAUGCCGCGUGAGUGAAGAAGGCCUUCGGGUUGUAAAGCUCUUUCAGCCGGAAAGAAAACGCACGGGUUAAUAACCUGUGUGGAUGACGGUACCGGAAGAAGAAGCACCGGCUAACUACGUG